AGGCCCUUCGGGGUACUCGAGUGGCGAACGGGUGAGUAACACGUGGGUGAUCUGCCCUGCACUUUGGGAUAAGCCUGGGAAACUGGGUCUAAUACCGAAUACACCUUGCUGGAUGCAUGUCUGGUGGGGGAAAGCUUUUGCGGUGUGGGAUGGGCCCGCGGCCUAUCAGCUUGUUGGUGAGGUUACGGCUCACCAAGGCGACGACGGGUAGCCGGCCUGAGAGGGUGUCCGGCCACACUGGGACUGAGAUACGGCCCAGACUCCUACGGGAGGCAGCAGUGGGGAAUAUUGCACAAUGGGCGCAAGCCUGAUGCAGCGACGCCGCGUGAGGGAUGACGGCCUUCGGGUUGUAAACCUCUUUCGCCAGGGACGAAGCGCAAGUGACGGUACCUGGAGAAGAAGCACCGGCCAACUACGUGCCAGCAGCCGCGGUAAUACGUAGGGUGCGAGCGUUGUCCGGAAUUACUGGGCGUAAAGAGCUCGUAGGUGGUUUGUCGCGUUGUUCGUGAAAACUCACAGCUUAACUGUGGGCGUGCGGGCGAUACGGGCAGACUGGAGUACUGCAGGGGAGACUGGAAUUCCUGGUGUAGCGGUGGAAUGCGCAGAUAUCAGGAGGAACACCGGUGGCGAAGGCGGGUCUCUGGGCAGUAACUGACGCUGAGGAGCGAAAGCGUGGGGAGCGAACAGGAUUAGAUACCCUGGUAGUCCACGCCGUAAACGGUGGGUACUAGGUGUGGGUUUCCUUCCUUGGGAUCCGUGCCGUAGCUAACGCAUUAAGUACCCCGCCUGGGGAGUACGGCCGCAAGGCUAAAACUCAAAGAAAUUGACGGGGGCCCGCACAAGCGGCGGAGCAUGUGGAUUAAUUCGAUGCAACGCGAAGAACCUUACCUGGGUUUGACAUGCACAGGACGCUGGUAGAGAUAUCAGUUCCCUUGUGGCCUGUGUGCAGGUGGUGCAUGGCUGUCGUCAGCUCGUGUCGUGAGAUGUUGGGGUUAAGUCCCGCAACGA
rnacentral:rRNA from 1 species